rnacentral:rRNA from 1 species
GAUGAACGCUGGCGGCGUGCCUAAUACAUGCAAGUCGAGCGAAUGGAUUAAGAGCUUGCUCUUAUGAAGUUAGCGGCGGACGGGUGAGUAACACGUGGGUAACCUGCCCAUAAGACUGGGAUAACUCCGGGGAACCGGGGCUAAUACCGGAUAACAUUUUGAACCGCAUGGUUCGAAAUUGAAAGGCGGCUUCGGCUGUCACUUAUGGAUGGACCCGCGUCGCAUUAGCUAGUUGGUGAGGUAACGGCUCACCAAGGCAACGAUGCGUAGCCGACCUGAGAGGGUGAUCGGCCACACUGGGACUGAGACACGGCCCAGACUCCUACGGGAGGCAGCAGUAGGGAAUCUUCCGCAAUGGACGAAAGUCCGACGGAGCAACGCCGCGUGAGUGAUGAAGGCUUUCGGGUCGUAAAACUCUGUUGUUAGGGAAGAACAAGUGCUAGUUGAAUAAGCUGGCACCUUGACGGUACCUAACCAGAAAGCCACGGCUAACUACGUGCCAGCCGCCGCCGUAA